rnacentral:tRNA from 1 species
GGUGAGGUAGCUCAGAGGUAGAGCGCCGGUUUGAAAAGCCGGGCGUCGGUGGUUCGAUCCCGCCUCUCACCACCA